rnacentral:rRNA from 1 species
UACGGAGGGUGCAAGCGUUAUCCGGAUUCACUGGGUUAAAGGGAGCGUAGGUGGCUUUGUAAGUCAGUGGUGAAAUCUUAGAGCUCAACUCUAAAACUGCCAUUGAUACUGCUUAGCUUGAAUCACGUCGAGGUGGAAUGGAAUAUUACAUGUAGCGGUGAAAUGCUUAGAUAUGUAAUAGAACACCGAUUGCGAAGGCAGUUCACUAGGCGUGUAUUGACAACUGAGGCUCGAAAGCGUGGGGAUCAAACAGG